rnacentral:rRNA from 1 species
GAUGAACGCUAGCUACAGGCUUAACACAUGCAAGUCGUGGGGCAUCAUGAUGUAGUAAUACAUUGAUGGCGACCGGCGCACGGGUGAGUAACGCGUAUCCAACCUACCCUCCACUCAAGUAUAGGCUUCCGAAAGGGAGAUUAAUCCUUGAUAUGGUCAUUCUCUCUCCUGUUAGAAUGAUAAAAGGACAUCGUUUCGGUAGAGGAUGGGGAUGCGUUCCAUUAGGUAGUAGGUGGUUUAACAGGCCACCUAGCCGAUGAUGGAUAGGGGUUCUGAGAGGAAUAUCCCCCACACUGGUACUGAGAUACGGACCAGACUCCUACGGGAGGCAGCAGUGAGGAAUAUUGGUCAAUGGGCGCAAGCCUGAACCAGCCAUGUAGCGUGAAGGAUGACAGUUUUUUUGAUUGUAAACUUCUUUUCUGUGCGAUUAAAGUGUGGCAUUUAUGCCAUAUUGCAGUAUCUUCAGGAAUAAAGCA